GUGCUCGCUUGGGCAGCACAUAUACUAAAACUGGAACGAUGCAGAGAAGAUUAGCGUGGCCCAUGUGCAAGGAUGGAACGCAAAUUCAUACAGUGUUCCAUAUUUUU
ensembl:snRNA U6 U6 spliceosomal RNA